UACGUAGGGUGCAAGCGUUGUCCGGAAUUAUUGGGCGUAAAGAGCUCGUAGGUGGCCUGUCGCGUCGGCUGUGAAAACUCGGGGCUCAACUCCGAGCUUGCAGUCGAUACGGGCAGGCUAGAGUUCGGCAGGGGAGACUGGAAUUCCUGGUGAAGCGGUGAAAUGCGCAGAUAUCAGGAGGAACACCGGUGGCGAAGGCGGGUCUCUGGGCCGAUACUGACACUGAGGAGCGAAAGCGUGGGGAGCGAACAGG
rnacentral:rRNA from 1 species